ACUUGCUCUGCAGAGGGCGCCAUGUUUCGUUAACUGUUCUUUUUCGCCUACUGUUGUUGAAGGUUGUAUGUGCAGGAACGGUUGGCAGCAAUUAAAGUCUCCAUCACAACUUCGACCCCUGCUGUCUGAUCCUCUUCUCUCUGCAUGACACCCUGCAUGCAGACACAUCAAGGAACACAACGCAGAGCUACGCAGGGUUUGCGGAGAGGCGCUCCACUUGUAGCAGACACGCAAAACCUGUCAGAUUUUUUGUUACCCUCUUUGAUUGAUGACACCAUCAACAUGGAUUGAAGUCACAUCCCACCAGAAGCUGGAGUGUUUCCUGCUGAGCUCGAGUGAGGUUUCAGAUUCCACAAUUCAGAGGUUUCCGGUGUGGACUGAGUGGCGAGCCAGACCCUGAUUCUUCCCCCUCACGGACUGUGUGGUAGGACCAAAUGAACACUGGUGCACUGACACUGAUUAAUAGAAGGGCCCAGACGAAAUAAAGACUAGAUUGGGAAAAGUUUUUUUCUGCCGGCUUUAUUUUGUUUUUUUUCCCAUUCAUUGUUUCAGCAGAUUGUCAUGUUAAAUUGUUAUUCAUUUGCUGUUACAAGUGGCCACACAAACAAGCUAUUGUUGUCUGUGUCAUUACUGAUGUUCAAAAGACUGGCUCUUAACAACUUAGUGUCUUCUGAUACUGGUCCAAUUGCUCUUAUAGAUCAGUACUCACCUGUGCUCUAUCAUUACACCGUCAUGAGGGCUACUCUGAGCUCAAGUCAACAAGCAGCAUCCUGAUGUAUGUGUUCAGUCUUCUCAGAUGACUGAGGGCUUUGGAG